GGGUUUAUAUCGUCUAUAUCUGUAAUGGAGGGUGGGGCGUAACCAAUUAUGGUUGGAUUAGAUUCUGGGACAAGGCGGAAUAUUUCGCUUAAUAUGAAAUGGUGCUAGUAAUAUAGCGACAUUCAUAUCCUGGACGGUGGUGUGAUUUGAUUCGAACUUUCAAAUAACAGUAAAUUGUUUCCCUUUUCCAGAGGGCUUCCAACACUUCCCUGAACUAACGUUGCGUGCCACCAGACUUCUCCUUGAAUUACUCACAACAAAUAUGUAUCCUGCCAUUCACGGCCAUCUACUCCAAUCUUCCUACGUUGUGCUGGCAGUAGUAUCGCCACCAGCAUCCCUGAACAACGCUACAAGUCCGCUGUCAGACCAGCAAGGAAGCAAUCAGAUAACCUUGUACAUACAUCCACCUUGAGGUUGGCUACAUGUAUGUGGCGUACGGAUGGAUUGGCUUGUUUCCACCCUGCCAUGGACAGGCCUGAUGAGGAGGUACCUCCUACAUCUCCUCCUCCUCCUCCUCCUCGGCCAACGACUCCACGACCGGGACCAAAGCCAGCAACGCAGUCGUCAACCAAUGUAGGAAUCAGGAAGCGAAAGACCUUGAAACCCUCUCAACUUCCCGUUUCAAAAUUGACGGCUACACUUGAAACGGUGGUAGGGAAGCUGGCAUUCGUGGCGUCCAUCCAUCCACCUAUCGACACAUUCAACGUUUCAGAGUCCUGCAAUUCUCGACAGGACUUCCGCGAUCAACAGAAAAGAUGAUGGUUCCCACUACGCAAACCCUGCCUUGAAAUGAUGCUUUGUGACGGGUGAGCAACAGACGAUAAUUUUCAUCAAGGACUCCGUUAGAAGGCCACCCUCAACGACAUUUGCUAUUCCUCUUCCCUCCUCCAUCUCGUGAAAUAUCAAGUACAGAUCCAUUAUCUCUCUCCCCCACCGGAUGAGCAUUCCGUGCACGUUACCCAUGGAAAAGUGCCAUGAACAUUGAACACAGUCCAAUAACAACAUCAUGCUUGAGGGCUUCACACAUCUCUCAAGACCAUCAUCGGCAUCGUUGGUCUUCUUGCAACGGGUGCUUCCAUUGUGGCAAAAGUCGGUCCUCUGCGAUGCGAGUUUUCCAAGGAUUUCCGACACAUGUGAGAAGCCUCUUGGAGAGAAGGACAUAUUUUCCUCGUGCGUCUUAUUACCAAUGCCACAAUGGCACUGGAUGAUCUUGAACAGCACCAUGUUUCUUACCCGAGAAAUCAGAUUGGAGGCCUGACUAACAGGGAGGAAAUGCUGAGUGUGGCGACGCACCAGUGUUCGUCUACGAUACACUUGAGGGUUGCCGAUUCACCUUGAAGACAACAGCGUCGACCAACCAAGAGCAGUGUUUGGGUUGUCAGAUAAUGCACCUGUUAUGGUUUGUACUUGGGUACUUUUCCGAACGAGAAUUUCCAUUGCACCGUCGUUUCUGUUCGGAUCCAGGGUCAAUGGAAUACAGGAUCUGACGGUAAAGGCAAUUUGUGGACGGUUGCAUUCUCCCUCGUUUAUGAUCUGUUUUCGAAACAAAUUGACGGGGAUUGGAAUCAGCUUGCUCAUCCAACACAUUAAUCGUCUAAAAUAAGCACCAUGUGUACGACGAGGUGGGCUCAAAAACGAAAAAUGAUUGCUUAUCAUCCAUGGCGGGAGAAGAAUAUCAGUUAGUCAUGGAGAUGAUAUCGGUGGAAGCCUUGGGGGUUAGUUCUACUUCAAAAGGGCAUCACCGUCGGACUUCCCCUUCCCAUCAAAUUUAAUACAUUAAUAGUCUUCCAAUGGAAUGGCGAUAUCAUCAAGAUCACCUCUGGUUUCUUUCCAUGAAUCGCGAGAUGGUUGAUGUACAUCCUCAGUGUCGACACUCGUCCCGUCUCCAUCUUCCAUGGGAAGAGGCACAGGAAAUAUCAAAAUCUAGAUAGAGGAAGACUUGCUUCAAGAUUCCUCAUAACUGGCUCUGUUGCAAUACAUACAUGUAUGUACGUACGUAUACGCAAGCACCGGUAGUAGUUACUUCUACAAAUGAUCAGUAAAGUUCAAGUAAGCAGCCUCGAACAAAAAAGGCGGCUGAAUUUUAGUUUCCUGUUAUCUACUACAAUCUCGAAAAUAAAAGCGGCUUACGUUUAA